rnacentral:rRNA from 1 species
AGAAACCAACCGGGAUUGCCUUAGUAUACGGCGAGUGAAGCGGCAAAAGCUCAAAUUUGAAAUCUGGUACCUUCGGUGCCCGAGUUGUAAUUUGGAGAGGGCAACUUUGGGGCCGUUCCUUGUCUAUGUUCCUUGGAACAGGACGUCAUAGAGGGUGAGAAUCCCGUGUGGCGAGGAGUGCGGUUCUUUGUAAAGUGCCUUCGAAGAGUCGAGUUGUUUGGGAAUGCAGCUCUAAGUGGGUGGUAAAUUCCAUCUAAAGCUAAAUAUUGGCGAGAGACCGAUAGCGAACAAGUACAGUGAUGGAAAGAUGAAAAGAACUUUGAAAAGAGAGUGAAAAAGUACGUGAAAUUGUUGAAAGGGAAGGGCAUUUGAUCAGACAUGGUGUUUUGUGCCCUCUGCUCCUUGUGGGUAGGGGAAUCUCGCAUUUCACUGGGCCAGCAUCAGUUUUGGUGGCAGGAUAAAUCCAUAGGAAUGUAGCUUGCCUCGGUAAGUAUUAUAGCCUGUGGGAAUACUGCCAGCUGGGACUGAGGACUGCGACGUAAGUCAAGGAUGCUGGCAUAAUGGUUAUAUGCCGCC